rnacentral:misc_RNA from 1 species
GCGAUAGGCAUUCAUAGUUGGAAUUAAAAAAUAAUAAUUUAAUAAGAGCAUGAAGGGGUCAACGAAUUAAUACAACAAAUCCCUGGAGAAACAAAACAGAGGAAUGUCAAGCAAACAUCUAUAGAAACAGAACAAACGUUGUAUGAUGCCCCCAUUAUACCGUAGCCCAAGCUCACAAGACUAGUUAUCGUGACAAAAUAUACUCGCCUAAUAAGAUCCUAAUUAUCUUUUCAAGAGUAAUAUCCAAAACGCAGAAUACCUGAGCUACUGCGAGCCAUUGACUAUAGACACUGGAAAGACGAAAAAAAAUUUAGCGUAUAUAAUAUGGAACAAGCAAGCGUAUAUAAUAUGGAACGAACCACUAACAGAUUUAAAAUUCCCUUAACAAGAACUGGAACUCAUUCUAACGAACAGCCUACCCAAGAAUUCCGAUUCUCAAGUGUUUCUUCAGCUGGAUGAAGGUCUUGCGAUGGCCUUCUUAACUGCCUCAGCAUAUGUCCUGUGUUGAUAAGUGAGGGUUGAUUCAAGCAAGUCCCACAGCGAUGUCUUGGGGUUCCAACCAAGCUGUCUAUUGAUUAUGGUCAUGUCUGGAACUCUCUUGUCACUGUCGUCAUAUCCCUCACCAUAAAAUUCCUUGGAGGAGACAUCAACUGUUGGCACCUCCAGAGCCGGUUCUCCGCUUACGUUUGCAUAGACCUGUUGAGAGAAAGCAUAUCAAUUCCAUGUCUAAGAACACAUUCCAAUCCACCCGGUAUUAAAAGAAAAAGAUAGAUGUAUUGUCAUAAUAACCCCUCGCCUCAGUCAUCAUUUCGGCAAGCUGCCUAACAGUAACUUCAUUGUAAGGGUUUCCAACAUUGAAAAUGUGACCAUUAGCCCUGGCUGGAUUUUCAAUCAUCAAGAGAACAGCUUCAAUGGCAUCUUUGAUGUAAAUGAAAGAUCUCUGAGAUUGACCACCAUCCACUAGCUUGAGUGGUUCACGGCGCAAGAGAGCAUUGCUAAAGCAUGCCAGAACCCUGGGAACACCCUCACUUGGACCAUCAAUACCAGGUAUGAAGUCCAUUCUGGGUCCAAUCCAGUUGAAAGGUCUCACAAUGGUGAACUCAAGGCCAUUCUCCGCGCCCUCAGCAUAUAUCAGCCUCUCAAUCAACUGUUUUGCACAUGCAUAGGACCACCUCUGCUUCUCAAUUGGUCCAAAAAUACAGGGGGAAGCAUCUUCUUUAAGAAUGUAGUAGGCAGGAUCCUGACGAAGAGGGCUAUCUUUAGGAAGAAAGCUCCCAAUCGUUUUACCAUACACCUCGCAAGUCGAGAAGUGAAUUAGACGCUUGUUAUUCUCCGUACAGUACUUCACCACUGGGAGCGAAUCAAUAAAAUUGCUGUAAAUCGUGUCCAAGGGACGCGUAUUGUAAUCCGCCGGAGUACAAAUAGCCGCCAGAUUUAUCGUCAGAUCCGCCAUCUUGAUAAGGCCUUCAAGGCGGGAGUCAUUUUUGAUGUUGAGGCGGUGGAACUGGAUCCGGUCGUUCCAAGAGAGUGAUUCCGUCUUGAGGAGGUGCUUGAUCUUAUCGUUGUAGACAUCAAGAGCCAAGAUCGUGUGCGGCGUCUCCAUCAACAACUUCUCACAAAGGUGGGAGCCAAUGAAACCUCCAGCACCAAUCAUGCAUAUUGUGAUCGGCCUUAUCGGCCUCCCAUCCAGAUCCACCCUAUUCAUCGCCGUCGCCAUUGUCUCAAACAAUCACCAAAAAGUGCAAAAGGCCAAAAUCUCUCUCAAACGAGAAAUGAAAACGGAAAAGGAAAUGGAAAUUGAAAUGCUUUUACGCGUCCAUCUAUUUAAUGGAAGUAACGGUGGUGGAAGCUAACGUGAGCCGACGGUGCCAAACCGAAGCAGAAUAAGGGAGAUUUCUGGACUGCAAAAGAACGAAAUAAAAAGGAGGAUC